rnacentral:lncRNA from 12 species
GCCAGGAGAAGUGUAAUGACCAUUGCUUCUGGCACAAUUGCCCUGCAGAGAAAGCCUCAGGUGGAAAUAACAGCUCAGUGCACAUUAGGCCAGACUGAUGACCUGCAUAAACAUUUCCCUUCAGAUGGGAUGGCUCUUCCAACUUAGCAGCUGCCAGCAUAUACUAGAUUCAUGCAAGUUAGCCCUCCUGAACACAGGCUAUUUAAGUCUCAAUUAAUGAAGCAUCUAGAAACUAUUUUGCUACAAUCAAAC